rnacentral:lncRNA from 1 species
UUACUUUGUUUAACUAGAUUAACCAAUAACCGGAUUGAAAAAUUCAAUUAUUUGAAGUAGGUUCGAGUGAAAUUUAGUUUGACUUAAAUGUGAAAACUCUAAAUGUUAGUUAUCUAAUUCAAUUUUAAAAGAAUGACAAGUUUACCACAGUACUAGCAUUGAGAAACCUGAAAAUUCUAAUCUAUUUAAUAUAUUAAAGGAUUACACGUUGAAGAGCUCACAAUCAUUCUCUAUCCUAGGUGGCACUCUAGAAUGCUUAUAUUUCUAAUUUUCUAAAUCCUUCAUAUUUCAUGCCUCUUAAAUCCAAAAAAUCCAAA